rnacentral:lncRNA from 1 species
CCUUUGGCACGCAUCUCUGUGAUGACUAAUACUGGAGUUGUCUUGAAGCCUGUCAGCUAUUGCUUGCAAGCAUUUGCCAGCAGCCUCACCUUCAGUAUUCAAAAACCCACAGUUUACAAUUCCAUCCAAGGCGUCUCUGGGAAGACCGUAAAUUUUCAUUUGUUAAAAGAAAGGAGAGGGCUGGCGAGAUGGCUCCGUUGAGUAAAGGUACUUGCUGCCAAACCUGAUGACUUGAGUUCGAUUCCCUGGGUCUGUGGGUUCAGUGGAGAGAACGAACCCUCUCCUGGUCNUUCUCACGAUUCAGUGAGUGCUGUCCUGAGGCCAGCUCUCAGGGUUGAUGGUGUCUCCCUCAACAAUCUGCACUGUGGCCUUGCUCCCAUCCAGUUACCUUGCUUCCUUUGUGAAUCUGUGUGAACCGUGUUUUCAGUUCUUUGGAUAAGAAACCUAGUAACCAGAGCUGCCUGACCCCAGACACUAACCAACAGUAACAGUUCUGGGUCCUAGGAAAACUAGGACAACUAACUACUGGAAUAGCCAAGGUUCCCAUCAUUCCUAAGUGCUGUGCUGUCUAUAUUAAGGAGAUAGAUGUUGACAGAUGGACGAUUAUCAACUGGAAAUGAAGGCACUGCGCUGGCACCUGAUGACGAUAACCCUUCAAGCCACAAGCUCACAUGAACCUGGGUUGUUUUAAUUAGCUUUGGAUUGUGAUGAUCAAAAACAACUUGGCGAGGAAAGUUUAUUUGGCUCAUACAUCCAGAUCAUAGUCUCUCAUAAAAGGAAGUUGGGGUAGGAACCUGGAUACAAGAAUUGAUGCAGAGGCCACAGAGGAACCCUCCCCAUGGGCUCACUUAGGACCAUGUGCCCAGGAGUAAUGCCGCUCUGCAGAGGGCUAGGUGAUCCCACAUCAAUCAUUAAUUGAGAAAAUGGCACACAGACUUACCCUAACGCAGAUCCCUUUUCCCAGAUGACCCCAGCUAGAGUCCAAUUGAG